UACGUAGGGUGCAAGCGUUGUCCGGAAUUAUUGGGCGAAAGAGCUCGUAGGCGGUUUGUCGCGUCUGCUGUGAAAACCCGAGGCUCAACCUCGGGCCGCAGUGGGGUACGGGCAGACUAGAGUGCGGUAGGGGAGAUUGGAAUUCCUGGUGUAGCGGUGGAAUGCGCAGAUAUCAGGAGGAACACCGAUGGCGAAGGCAGAUCUCUGGGCCGUAACUGACGCUGAGGAGCGAAAGCGUGGGGAGCGAACAGG
rnacentral:rRNA from 1 species